UGAAGAAAAGUUUUAACUAAAAAAUGUGAUUUUAUCGACAGAGCAAGUAUCGUUUAAAUUGUAGAUGCCGCCACAGGUUUAGAAUAAUAAGUAAUAUGUGGUUUCUACUAGUUAAUGAAAUAUUCAACGAAUAUUACGAGCAUAAGGUUAUAUCAUAAACGAUUGAACAAUGUGACCAUUUUCAAAAAUAACGCAUUAUAGAGAACAAGGAAUUUCUAAUAAUCCAUGUCUAUUAUGACAAACAAUGUACGCAUCAAAGUUUCUACCUUUAACCAGGUAUAAUAUAAUUUAACUUUGUAUAAUA
rnacentral:lncRNA from 1 species